rnacentral:rRNA from 1 species
AGGUGGAUUGGAUGAUUUCAGAAAGAAACUUUUUUAGUGUGGGGGUCAUGAAACAAUAAUAAAGAUAGGACGUGCCGUUCGGGGGCAGAGUGGCAGGUGGUGCAUGGUUGUUGUCAGCUGGUGUCGUGAGAUGUUGGGUUAAGUCCCGCAACGAGCGCAACCCUUGAUCUUAGUUGCCAGCAUUCAGUUGGGCACUCUAAGGUGACUGCCGGUGACAAACCGGAGGAAGGUGGGGAUGACGUCAAAUCAUCAUGCCCCUUAUGACCUGGGCUACACACGUGCUACAAUGGACAGAACAAAGGGCAGCGAAACCGCGAGGUUAAGCCAAUCCCACAAAUCUGUUCUCAGUUCGGAUCGCAGUCUGCAACUCGACUGCGUGAAGCUGGAAUCGCUAGUAAUCGCGGAUCAGCAUGCCGCGGUGAAUACGUUCCCGGGCCUUGUACACACCGCCCGUCACACCACGAGAGUUUGUAACACCCGAAGUCGGUGAGGUAACCUUUUAGGAGCCAGCCGCCGA